AGAGAGUGACGGGCGAUGUGUACACACAUCAGAGCCAACUUCAAUAAAGAAUUUUAUUCUAAAUUUACUACUAAAUCCACCUUAAUAAUAUUUUACAUACACUAAUCCGUGUUAAUUAUAAUUUAUUGUAACCCACUUCUCCCAUAUUUAUAAGUUGCACCUUGACCUGAAGUCAUAAAUUUAAAAUUAAUUAGAUUAUAUUUUCUAAAAAUAAUCUGACAACGGCGGUAUACAAACUGAAUACAAAAAUAUGUACAUUUAAACGUGGAAUAUCGAUCCAAGAGCAGGUUCCUCUAGUAAGAAUGAAGUACCGCCAAAUUCUUUAGGUUUCAAUAAAUCUACUACCCUGGCAAUAAAUUUAAUAAAGAAUAAUAGGGUAUCUAAUCCUAGUUUAAACCUCUACUUAUAAAGUUAACAAAUUUACCAAAAAUCUUUAAUUUAAAAAAAGAAAAAUUUUACCCUUAAUUUUUUAUCAAAAAAAUCUCCCUAAAAUAAAUAUUUACUUAAUUCCGCCAAACUAUUUUACUUAAAUCCUUCGUAUAACC
rnacentral:rRNA from 1 species